GACGAACGCUGGCGGCGUGCUUAACACAUGCAAGUCGAACGGAAAGGCCCUGCUUUUGUGGGGUGCUCGAGUGGCGAACGGGUGAGUAACACGUGAGUAACCUGCCCUUGACUUUGGGAUAACUUCAGGAAACUGGGGCUAAUACCGGAUAGGAGCUCCUGCUGCAUGGUGGGGGUUGGAAAGUUUCGGCGGUUGGGGCUGGACUAGCGGCUUAUCAGCUGGUUGGUGGGGUAGUGGCUUACCAAGGCUUUGACGGGUAGCCGGCCUGAGAGGGUGACCGGCCACAUUGGGACUGAGAUACGGACCAGACUCCUACGGGAGGCAGCAGUGGGGAAUAUUGCACAAUGGGCGGAAGCCUGAUGCAGCAACGCCGCGUGCGGGAUGACGGCCUUCGGGUUGUAAACCGCUUUCGCCUGUGACGAAGCGUGAGUGACGGUAAUGGGUAAAGAAGCACCGGCUAACUACGUG
rnacentral:rRNA from 1 species